rnacentral:rRNA from 1 species
GGACGAACGCUGGCGGCGUGCUUAACCCAUGCAAGUCGAACGGAAAGGCCCUGCUUUUGUGGGGUGCUCGAGUGGCGAACGGGUGAGUAACACGUGAGUAACCUGCCCUUGACUUUGGGAUAACUUCAGGAAACUGGGGCUAAUACCGGAUAGGAGCUCCUGCUGCAUGGUGGGGGUUGGAAAGUUUCGGCGGUUGGGGAUGGACUCGCGGCUUAUCAGCUUGUUGGUGGGGUAGUGGCUUACCAAGGCUUUGACGGGUAGCCGGCCUGAGAGGGUGACCGGCCACAUUGGGACUGAGAUACGGCCCAGACUCCUACGGGAGGCAGCAGUGGGGAAUAUUGCACAAUGGGCGGAAGCCUGAUGCAGCAACGCCGCGUGCGGGAUGACGGCCUUCAGGUUGUAAACCGCUUUCGCCUGUGACGAAGCGUGAGUGACGGUAAUGGGUAAAGAAGCACCGGCUAACUACGUG